AUUGAACGCUGGCGGCAGGCCUAACACAUGCAAGUCGAGCGCUCGGCGGACGUGUGAGUAAUGUUUGGGGAUCUGCCCGCUAGCUGGGGAUACUUCCUGGAAACUGUGGCUAUUACCGCAUACUAUCGGAUUACCCCAUUUGCGAUUAGCUAGUAGGUGGGGUAAAGGCUCACCUCGGCGACGAUCUCUAGCUGGUCUGAGAGGAUGAUCAGCCACACUGGGACUGAGACACGGCCCAGACUCCAACGGGAGGCAGCAGUGGGGAAUAUUGCACAAUGGGCGCAAGCCUGAUGCAGCCAUGCCGCGUGUGUGAAGAAGGCCUUAGGGUUGUAAAGUACUUUCAGCGGGGAGGCGUUACCCGCAGAAGAAGCACCGGCUAACUCCGUGCCAGCCGCCGCGGUAAUAC
rnacentral:rRNA from 1 species